rnacentral:rRNA from 1 species
AAUAUUUUGGUGAGCCGGGUUGUGUUCGGCAUCUUGACGUGACGUGUCGCGGUCGCGCUCUCUGGCUGGUCUUUCAUCUUUGGGGGCCGGCCUUCCUCUACUCGAUGAUGCCGGUCGUCGUCCGCGGUCAGCCGCGGGGCGGCGUCGUUCCAAUGGGCGGCGUCCCCAUGGGAGGCCGGCCAAUGGGCGGCGGUGUCGUCCCGAUGGGCGGCCGGCCUAUGCCGGUCGUCGUCGUCCCGAUGGGCGGAGUUGUCCCGAUGGGCGGGGUCGUCGUCGUCGUCGUCUUGUCGCCCGGAAGGAAGUACGUUCCUACGGACCGGCGCGAAACGACGACAACAGAGAACCUGCGGACGAAGACUCUGGUUCCAAGGUAGGAGUGCGCACAACCUUGACUAGUUAACACGGAACAAUGGCUUUACGAUGAUCGGAGGUACAAAACCCGGGAUAGUGUAAAAAGAUGGGGAACAAACAUUUGAAGUGUAAAACUAAUUAAUAAGCCAACCAAACCUACACUACUGAUGGAACGAUUUACGAUGAUUAGGU